GGUGCCGCCGCCUAGCGCUGAAUCAGAACGACUGCUGCCGACUGGGCCGCCACAAUUGCAUAUCAACAAUAGCUUUCGUUUUUAUUUGUAGUUGUUUCUAACGAAGAUUUUUCAAAAUUAGGCGUGUACACAUGUGAAAAUAUACAGCUGUGAUAUCAGCAUAUUUAACUCGAAAAUUAUGAAUUACUUUCGCGUAUCAAUAUUCAGGAAUGACGUCAACCAGUUUUUCAAUACAUUUUUCGAAAUUAUCAUUGUCGAUUAUCGAGUUGCAGAAAAAGUUGUGAGAAAUCAUUUCAUAAUAUUAUAGCGAAACUUACAGAUUAUGAGAGUACCUGCCAUGUAAAAACAAAAGAACAAGUGGAAGGCACGAAUCUAAAAGCGCACGUGUUUCGCUGAGAGCAUGACGAAGUCAUAUAUUUUCCGCACGGCGUGUUGAAAACCGUGUGAUUUCAAACCGAAUAAGACUCUUUAUUUCUAUAUUUGGAAUAAUUCAGACAUUUAUCUUGAUCUAGAAAAAUUCGAUUCCCUACGUUUUUCAAAGGAAAGUCGCGCUAACAGAGAUCUUUACCGCUUUUUAACAUUUGGUGAAGGACCUUGAAUACGCAUUGCACAAAGAGUAGCCACUUUUAAUGCGAAGGAAACUUGAAUUGAUGACACUAUUACGCAAUUUGGAAUUUUCCAUUUGUAAAGUAACGCCAAUAAAUACCAUACGGUAUUCGCGUACGUUCGUACAAGUUAUUCAUCAUUGGAGACGAUAAAGUUUGAAAAUCACCAAAAGAUUAUUUGCAAUGGCAUGUCGAAUUUUUGCAAUAUUUUGAUGACGAUCUUGUGAAAGUCCAUGAAAUGAAACAGCUGGAUAAAUUUCAAUGCUACGAUUCUAUAUUUGCAGAUAGAAUUCAAGAACUUAUACAUUAAAAAAAUAAUUCGGAAAAAUGUAAACGAAGCAUGCUACGACAUGAUAACAAAUUGGUGAAUAUUUGUGAUAAAACUAAUAUUUCCGUCAAUUAUUAUUAUUAUUAUUAUUAUUACUUCUCACACAAAAUUCUAAAAGAAGUUUUUCUCUGUGAAUAAAAAAAAACAGGUGUAGGAGUUAUGAAUAAAUACAUUGUUUGAUAAAAGAAUAAAUAUAUACUAUUUGUCAUAUUACUUGUUUUAACAUAAGAUGAAGAUUAAAUUAGACUAUCUAUAAAUUAAGGUUACUGAAUAAAUUACUUCUUGAUUAAUUGGAAAAUUUUGUUUCUAUAAAAAGUAUAAGUUUCGGAAUAUUUGUUUGGAAUUUUACGAGAGCUUGUUUUCUUAAUUUUACAAGAUUGGAGACAAUGAUUAACAUCGUCUUUUAUAUAAUAUAAACAUUAUGUUUGACCUACGUUGCAUGAGUAAGUAUAAUUAAUUAUCUGAGGCGACAGGUACAAGAAAAAAUAAAUAGAUAAUUUUCCUUAUAAAUUCCAUCAGUGAUGAUAAAACGUAGUCAUGUCAAUUAAUCAAUUGACGCUCAUAAAAACGUCAAUGAAAAUAUUGAUGCAUAUGUAAAUAUAUUGCUAUUUACGACAUAUACACUUA